CGUAAUUAUUUGCAAUAUUUAUUUAUUAAUUACAAAAACAGCCACCCCCAAAAAUUUAGCAAAGUGAGAUUUUACGUUGACUGCAUAUCCCGUUUCCAUGUUGAUCUCAUGACAUGGUGCAUUGGUUCCAAGUGCAGUUUGGGGUAACAAAAAAAAGCACGUGGCUCAGAAUGGAAAGCAAAGCUGCCCAGCCCACGCUGUGUCAACCUACCCGAGCCCGCUUGGAUGUCACGUUGGCCUGAUAAGGCCGCCGUGGGAACCCACGGGCCCCAAUAGGUCAGCACCACAACUGGGGGAGAUGCUCAUCUCGUCUAGGAGCUUGGAAGCAAGGUCGGGAGUUCACCAGAGACGGAGCCUCCAAGACGCAUCCACCUGCAGGGAAAGGAGGUGCCUGUAGGAUGCAGUACGCCCAUGCCGCCGCCACUGGAGCCUCAACAUCCGCUGCAUCCUUGACAAGCACGCGGAGCACACUCGCUUCACUCCAAUCCAGCUGAAGUCUGCCGACCUUACUCUAAGAAGUCAGCCUUCAACUACCAAGUGCAUAUUUUGCAUGAAGCUCUAUUUCUCCUGUCUUUCAUGAAGCUGGCAUACAGACCCCCCCUCCCUCCCCGUCUACCCCUCUUGUCCCCCAUCCCUUCUCUCUUUGCUGCCAUCUCAUCCAAGCAUAACUCUCCUCUGGGGAUGCCCCAGACAUCUGUGCUUGUAAAGCU